GUUUCAGUAGUUUAAAUAAAAACAAUGGUCUUGUAAACCGUAAAUGAAUUAUUAUUCUUGAAGCU